UAUGGCUCACGAUGUACGUACCGAUGAUGCAGCUAAAUCAUCUGCAAGCCGUAAAAUUGUUGCCAACCAUCGAAUUACACCAGGAUAUUUUUGUAAGUACUCAACUGCUUCUUUCUCCAUAGGAUUGGUGAUAAUAAAAAAAGCAUGAGACAUUAUCACAUGAGAUGAUAUUGUUAUCCGUGCAUUUUCCAUAUAUUCUUCCAGUGUUGGUGUGUGUCCAUUGAAGUACCACUUAGCCUCUUGUAAGUAUUCUUUGCAUAUAUCUGUCCACUGUAAUAAUGCUCAACGUUGUAAGAAUUGUAAAGUCAACUCAUAUACUAGAAAAAUAAAAACCGAAUUUGAUAAAUAAAUAUUAGCAGUACUAG
rnacentral:lncRNA from 1 species